rnacentral:tRNA from 1 species
GUGCCCUUAGCUCAGUUGGAUAGAGCAACGACCUUCUAAGUCGUGGGCCGCAGGUUCGAAUCCUGCAGGGCGCGCCA